rnacentral:rRNA from 1 species
CUGGUAUUGAUUGGUGCUUGCUCAUGAUUUACAUUUGAGUGAGUGGCGAACUGGUGAGUAACACGUGGGAAACCUGCCCAGAAGCGGGGGAUAACACCUGGAAACAGAUGCUAAUACCGCAUAACAACUUGGACCGCAUGGUCCGAGCUUGAAAGAUGGCUUCGGCUAUCACUUUUGGAUGGUCCCGCGGCGUAUUAGCUAGAUGGUGGGGUAACGGCUCACCAUGGCAAUGAUACGUAGCCGACCUGAGAGGGUAAUCGGCCACAUUGGGACUGAGACACGGCCCAAACUCCUACGGGAGGCAGCAGUAGGGAAUCUUCCACAAUGGACGAAAGUCUGAUGGAGCAACGCCGCGUGAGUGAAGAAGGGUUUCGGCUCGUAAAACUCUGUUGUUAAAGAAGAACAUAUCUGAGAGUAACUGUUCAGGUAUUGACGGUAUUUAACCAGAAAGCCACGGCUAACUACGUGCCAGCAGCCGCGGUAAUACGUAGGUGGCAAGCGUUGUCCGGAUUUAUUGGGCGUAAAGCGAGCGCAGGCGGUUUUUUAAGUCUGAUGUGAAAGCCUUCGGCUCAACCGAAGAAGUGCAUCGGAAACUGGGAAACUUGAGUGCAGAAGAGGACAGUGGAACUCCAUGUGUAGCGGUGAAAUGCGUAGAUAUAUGGAAGAACACCAGUGGCGAAGGCGGCUGUCUGGUCUGUAACUGACGCUGAGGCUCGAAAGUAUGGGUAGCAAACAGGAUUAGAUACCCUGGUAGUCCAUACCGUAAACGAUGAAUGCUAAGUGUUGGAGGGUUUCCGCCCUUCAGUGCUGCAGCUAACGCAUUAAGCAUUCCGCCUGGGGAGUACGGCCGCAAGGCUGAAACUCAAAGGAAUUGACGGGGGCCCGCACAAGCGGUGGAGCAUGUGGUUUAAUUCGAAGCUACGCGAAGAACCUUACCAGGUCUUGACAUACUAUGCAAAUCUAAGAGAUUAGACGUUCCCUUCGGGGACAUGGAUACAGGUGGUGCAUGGUUGUCGUCAGCUCGUGUCGUGAGAUGUUGGGUUAAGUCCCGCAACGAGCGCAACCCUUAUUAUCAGUUGCCAGCAUUAAGUUGGGCACUCUGGUGAGACUGCCGGUGACAAACCGGAGGAAGGUGGGGAUGACGUCAAAUCAUCAUGCCCCUUAUGACCUGGGCUACACACGUGCUACAAUGGAUGGUACAACGAGUUGCGAACUCGCGAGAGUAAGCUAAUCUCUUAAAGCCAUUCUCAGUUCGGAUUGUAGGCUGCAACUCGCCUACAUGAAGUCGGAAUCGCUAGUAAUCGCGGAUCAGCAUGCCGCGGUGAAUACGUUCCCGGGCCUUGUACACACCGCCCGUCACACCAUGAGAGUUUGUAACACCCAAAGUCGGUGG